GGUUCCAUAGUGUAGUGGUUAUCAUGUCUGCUUUACACGCAGAAGAUCUUGGGUUCGAGCCCCAGCGGAACCA
rnacentral:tRNA from 1 species